rnacentral:rRNA from 1 species
UACGUAGGGUGCGAGCGUUAAUCGGAAUUACUGGGCGUAAAGCGUGCGCAGGCGGUUCGUUGUGUCGGCGGUGAAAGCCCCGGGCUCAACCUGGGAAUGGCCGUUGAAACUGGCGAACUGGAGUGUGGCAGAGGGAGGUGGAAUUCCACGUGUAGCAGUGAAAUGCGUAGAGAUGUGGAGGAACACCGAUGGCGAAGGCAGCCUCCUGGGCUAGUACUGACGCUCAUGCACGAAAGCGUGGGGAGCAAACAGG